CAUGCACCCAAACCCAAAGACCACGUCCUGUCAGUGGUGUGGUUCUGUCUGGUGUGCAAACAGAAACCUGAUCCUUGUCGCCUUUCUCUGAUGCUGCCGUGCCGUUGAAAGUGAAUCCAAGGGUCAACAAAU